GAUCUGGCUCAGGAUGAACGCUAGCGGGAGGCCUAACACAUGCAAGCCGAGCGGUAGAGAUUCUUCGGAAUCUUGAGAGCGGCGUACGGGUGCGGAACACGUGUGCAACCUGCCUUUAUCAAGGGGAUAGCCUUUCGAAAGGAAGAUUAAUACCCUAUAAUAUAUUGACUGGCAUCAGUUAAUAUUGAAAACUACGGUGGAUAAAGAUGGGCACGCGCAAGAUUAGCUAGUUGGUGAGGUAACGG
rnacentral:rRNA from 1 species